UGAGGAAUAUUGGGCAAUGGACGAAAGUCUGACCCAGCAACGCCGCGUGGAGGAUGAAUGCCGUAAGGUUGUAAACUCCUUUUGAAGGGGACGAAAAAUUCCGAUAGCAUCGGAACUUGACUGUACCCUUAGAAGAAGCCCCGGCUAACUACGUGCCAGCAGCCGCGGUAAUACGUAGGGGGCAAGCGUUGUCCGGAUUUACUGGGUGUAAAGGGCGCGUAGGCGGAUUUGUUAGUCAAGGGUGAAAUCCUACAGCUUAACUGUAGAACUGCCUUUUAUACUGCAAAUCUUGAGUUCGGAAGAGAGUAGCGGAAUUCCAGGUGUAGUGGUGAAAUACGUAGAUAUCUGGAAGAACACCAGUGGCGAAGGCGGCUACUUGGUCCGUAACUGACGCUGAGGC
rnacentral:rRNA from 1 species